rnacentral:rRNA from 1 species
UUUAGUGGCGGACUGGUGAGUAACACGUAAGCAACCUGCCUAUUAGAGGGGAACAACAGUUAGAAAUGACUGCUAAUACCGCAUAUGCCAUAGUGAAGACAUCUUCACAGUGGGAAAGGAGCAAUCCGCUAAUAGAUGGGCUUGCGUCUGAUUAGAUAGUUGGUGGGGUAACGGCCUACCAAGUCGACGAUCAGUAGCCGGACUGAGAGGUUGAACGGCCACAUUGGGACUGAGAUACGGCCCAGACUCC